rnacentral:tRNA from 2 species
GCCCACAUAGCUCAGUUGGUAGAGCACUUCCUUGGUAAGGAAGAGGUCACCGGUUCAAAUCCGGUUGUGGGCUCCA